UUUAUGGUUGAUGGCCUCCUUGAAGUGAAAGGAAGAAUCAAAGAGUGAGAGCUAAGUCGUUGCGAAAGCGGUGGCGGUGGUGGCUGCUCAUCUUUGUUCUCGUCAGCCACCGUGGGGAGUAGCGGUUUUGUGGUAGAAGUUAACGUCUCUGGAGUGUGCCUUCUUGUUAAAGAGGAGGACAGAAAUGAGCUACCCCAUCUUGUUAAAGAUGACGUUCCCAAUAACCCAAUGUUAGGCGAUGGCACACUGCCCAACAUAUCCAUUGAUUGUCUGUAACUUUGUGGCCAUGUAGUAGUGUACGAAUUAGGCUUGCUUCGUCUCUGAUUUUCAGUCGAAGCAUCGGAAGAAUCCGAAUCGUUUCCAUCUUCUUCAUCUCUGUUCACUACAUUCUCCUGAUCUUCUUCUUCGUCUUCACUUUCAUACAAAAAACUCUGCUCCGAAACAGAACUCUUCAUCGUCUCCUUACUGUAUACUCCACAGAGAUCGAAG
rnacentral:misc_RNA from 1 species